rnacentral:rRNA from 1 species
CCUACGGGCGGCAGCAGUGAGGAAUAUUGGUCAAUGGACGAGAGUCUGAACCAGCCAAGUAGCGUGAAGGAUGACUGUCCUAUGGGUUGUAAACUUCUUUUAUAUGGGAAUAAAACGUUUCACGUGUGGGAUUUUGUAUGUACCAUAUGAAUAAGGAUCGGCUAACCCCGUGCCAGCAGCCGCGGUAAUACGGAGGAUCCGAGCGUUAUCCGGAUUUAUUGGGUUUAAAGGGAGCGUAGGUGGAUUGUUAAGUCAGUUGUGAAAGUUUGCGGCUCAACCGUAAAAUUGCAGUUGAAACUGGCAGUCUUGAGUACAGUAGAGGUGAGCGGAAUUCGUGGUGUAGCGGUGAAAUGCUUAGAUAUCACGAAGAACUCCGAUUGCGAAGGCAGUUCACUGGACUGCAACUGACACUGAGGCUCGAAAGUGUGGGUAUCAAACAGGAUUAGAUACCCGAGUAGUC